rnacentral:lncRNA from 1 species
UACGAUCUUGUUGGUGUCGCGUUGUUUGGUGAUGGAGCCGGAGCUAUGAUCAUCGGGUCUGAUCCAGACCCGGUUAGUGAGAAGCCACUCUUUGAGCUUCACACCGCAAUUCAAAAUUUUCUACCUGGUAAAAAACUACAAGACUUUUGCAUCCAACAAUGCCUAUAACCAGAACCGUUCUAGACACAAUCGGAUGAAACAUUUACUUGAGAAAUUUUUUCAUAAAUACUUUUUUUUUGGUCAAAUAUUUUCAUAAAUACUUUAAGAUAUAUUUAAAAAUUAUUUAUAAAACACUUAUAUAAGUUUAUAAACCCAAUUCUACUUCCAAAAUACUAAACCCUAAACAAUAAUCACAUUUAAACUCAAAUAUUUUGUUUUUUUAUUGAGUAUAUUUUUGAAAAGUUGGUGGUCACUUUAGGGUAUUUUAAACAAUUUCUCAAAAAAAAAAUUAUGAUCCAAUAAAUCUUAGAUCUGGAUUAACUUUCGUGUCGCAGACACGGAGAAGACAAUAGAUGGGAGGCUAACGGAAUCAGGCAUAAACUUCACACUAUCAAGAGAGCUUCCACAGAUAAUAGAAGACAACGUGGAGAGUUUCUGCAAGAAGCUACUAGGAAAAGCAGGACUGGCUCAUAAAGACUAUAACCAGAUGUUUUGGGCGGUUCAUCCAGGUGGACCAGCCAUAUUGAACCGAAUGGAAAAGCGGCUUAACCUGUCGCCGGAGAAGCUGAGUCCAAGCAGAAGAUCUCUCAUGGACUAUGGCAACGCAAGUAGCAAUUCGAUCGUUUACGUGUUGGAGUAUAUGUUGGAGGAGAGCAGGAAAGCAAGGAAGAUGAAUGAAGGUGAAAAUGAGUGGGGUCUGAUUCUGGCUUUUGGACCUGGUGUUACAUUUGAAGGUAUCGUUGCAAGGAAUCUCGAUGUUUGAGCAGAAAGUGGGUGUUUUGGUUCUACCUUGAGGCUCAAGAAACAGUCCCCUUUUGCUUUAUAGUCAUUUCAACAGAGAGAGAAAUGCAUAUAAUAAGAUAUGAAUCUAAAAGAAAUGAAUUGUUUUUUCACAAAGCAAAACAACUUAAAAAAAUAAGAAAUUUCAAAAAUAACGUCUACAUUAUUGUUUACUAAACGGCGACGUAUCAAACUCCCUCUGUCAUUUUCGGCGCACGCUAUCACUGUAACGAACUUUACUAUCCUGCGCCGUGUUUGUUAUCGUUCGCAUCGACCGCGUUUAUUCAACGACGGGAUGAUCGGAGAAAAGAAACGUGAUCCGUCGUACUCUCUCCCGGAAUCGUGAUUCGGAUUGUUGAUUAAAGGAUCUAAUCGGUCAACAGGCCAAUCGAAUUCCGUUUUCUGAUUCGAACUCACGAAGACAUCCUUCUUCUCCAUCUUCUUCGUCUCCGCUCGACCGAUCGUAGACGAGAUCGUACGAAGAAGAGCUGGAUCCAAGUAGUCCUCAAGCUUUCUCUUCGGAUUCCGCUUGAUCUGUGACGACGAGGACGACGAACGGUUGUCUUCUCUGUUUUGAUUGACAUUGAUCACACUGAAUAUCAAUAAGAUAAAUUAGAGAAAGUACGAAAGAGAGAUGAGGAAGUUACAGAAGAUAGAGAGACGAAGAAGACAGAGGAUGAAUCGGAUUUUGAGAACCAGCUCCGCCCAUAUUCGCCAUAGCUCUCCCGCCAAUAAAAAUAACGUGCAGAUGCAUAUGUAUCCCCUACAUAUAUGUUUGAGAUAAAGCCCGUUAAAUUUUGAUUUAGGCCCAUUAGCAUAUCACAAUUCUCUUUGUGAGUUUGCGAGUGAGGCUUAUUGGUGUGUCCGUGUGUGCUAUUCAUUUUGGUUUAACCUCGAAAGAAUCAUAAACGGAUGAAUUUUAAGUGGCAAAUGGAUUCAUCUGAUGAUGAUUCUUGUGUCAAAAUAACAAUUGUGGAAUUGUAGGUGCUGUAACGAUGGCCAGUGGCGGACCCAGCAAUUAAAUUAACCUGUGUCAUUAUAUUUUGUUUAAAAAAAGAUCACAAUAAGAAAAGCAAUAUGGAGCAUCGAACUUGGGUUUACUUGGGUUUAACAUCUAGACUGAUGAUUCUCCUUCAGUCUUUAUGUAAAAAACAUUAAUUUUAUCUUUUAACCUGUGUCAACUGACACACCCAAUCCUUUACUGGGUCCGCCUCUGACGAUGGCUAAUACAGGACCUGACCCUAAUGGCUCACAGUUCUUUAUCGCUACUGUCAAAGCUAGCUGGUAUGCUCUCGUCUCAUUGAUAAACAUCAUUCUCUCGCCUUACAGACGUUAUAAAAGUUUUUUUACGGAGAAGGGAGUGGAAAUGAGAUCAAGAACUAUACUCUUUAGGAUCCAUACCAAGUUGCAUUUACAAAGCAUUACACUAGAUAAUAGCCCUGUUCCGCGGUAGCGUCUAGCGACUGAUUUUACAAAGCAAAAAAGAAAAACUUAAAUGGAAAGAAAGAAGAAAAAUGGAAGAAAUCCUUGUUUUCAUGUCGCAGCCAAGAGUCAAGAGCAACAAGAUUGUAAUGGGGAGCAUCGAUGCCACAGAGUUGGGUUCAGAGAAGAAACCAAACCCUGGGAAAGCGACCAUUCUUGCUAUCGGAAAAGCCUUUCCUCACCAGCUAGUGAUGCAAGAGUACUUGGUCGAUGGCUACUUCAAAACCACAAACUGUGACGACCCUGAACUCAAACAGAAGCUUACUCGCCUCUGCAAGACAACCACGGUGAAGACAAGGUACGUUGUAAUGUCAGAGGAGAUACUAACAAAGUAUCCAGAACUCGCCAUCGAAGGAGGAUCCACCGUGAAGCAGCGUCUGGACAUAUGCAACGACGCUGUAACCGAAAUGGCAGUGGAAGCUUCAAGAUCCUGCAUCAAAAACUGGGGCCGUUCUGUUUCCGACAUAACUCACCUUGUUUAUGUCUCCUCAAGCGAAGCUCGUCUUCCUGGAGGCGACUUGUUCUUAGCCAAAGGGCUUGGUCUCAGCCCCGAGACGCACCGGGUUCUGCUCUACUUCGUCGGAUGCUCUGGAGGCGUUGCUGGUCUCCGUGUAGCCAAAGACAUAGCCGAGAACAAUCCGGGGAGUAGAGUCUUGCUUGCCACGUCAGAGACGACCAUCAUUGGUUUCAAACCGCCGAGUAAAGAUAGACCGUACGAUCUUGUUGGUGUCGCGUUGUUUGGUGAUGGAGCCGGAGCUAUGAUCAUCGGGUCUGAUCCAGACCCGGUUAGUGAGAAGCCACUCUUUGAGCUUCACACCGCAAUUCAAAAUUUUCUACCUGGUAAAAAACUACAAGACUUUUGCAUCCAACAAUGCCUAUAACCAGAACCGUUCUAGACACAAUCGGAUGAAACAUUUACUUGAGAAAUUUUUUCAUAAAUACUUUUUUUUUGGUCAAAUAUUUUCAUAAAUACUUUAAGAUAUAUUUAAAAAUUAUUUAUAAAACACUUAUAUAAGUUUAUAAACCCAAUUCUACUUCCAAAAUACUAAACCCUAAACAAUAA